AAACGCGCAGACUUACAUCCCUUGAAUGCCGAUCGCGGUUCCGAAAUGGUUCCUUCUUUCGGCUGGAUCCCACAAAGUGCUGCAUGGCUGUCGUCAGCUCGUGUGGGGAGAUGUUCGGUUAACUCCGGCAACGAGCGCACCCCCCCCUCUUAUUUGCCAGCAUUCAUUUGGGCACUCUAGAAGAACUGCCCAUGAUAAGACGGAGGAAGGGGGGGAAGAUGUCAAGUCCUCAUGGCCCUUAUUGGUGGGGCUACACCCGUGCUACAAUGGUGGUGACAAUGGGGUAAUCCCUAAAAGCCAUCUCAUUUCGGAUUGGGGUCUGCAACUCGACCCCAUGAGGUCGGAAUCACUAGUAAUCGCGUAACAGCAUGACGCGGUGAAUACGUUCCCGGGC
rnacentral:rRNA from 1 species